CGCUUAUAUGGAGCCCGACGCGAAAAUGGCUCGAGCGGACGCAACGCUUAUAUGGAGCCCGACGCGAAAAUGGCUCGAGCGAACGCAACGUUUAUAUAUACAGAGUCCGUUGUUUUAUGCAGGAAUUGAAAUCGGCGCCGCGGCGAGAAGCGAGAGAGAAACUUCUAGCAACAGCGCCGAGCGAGCGUGCUCAAAGUUCGAAGUCCACGUUGACGUCGCGUAGUGUUUCCUGUGCUGGCGCCGAAUGCGGCCGGUGAAUUCAAGAUACAGCCGCGCCUCCCUGACUUUGGCCUGUGUGAAAAGCCACAAAUUUUUAAUAAAAAAUAUGACCUGUAGCAUAUGACGACACUUCUGCCACCUACAUUCUUUUUGGUUUAGACUGUAAGCUAACAGUUGCAACAGGUCUCGUUGUACUGCCGGAGCGCCGCCGCCAGCUUCACAUGUGUGCCGCGCUUACAUGUUUAUCGUGUAUUGUGUGCGUUUAUUGCGUGCUUAUCGUACGCGACAUUCGUCGACUGGGCAUUUUCCGCGUGUUGGGGCGUUCUCCUGCCUUGAUCCAGUGGCGGAUGAUGGUCGUUGUUCGUUGCCACUCAACACAGCCUCACGGGACGCACAGCUUUGUGUCCGCGCUCAAAAGUGCUUUCUUGCUUCGUUCAUCGAUUACUCACGUUGAUCGAGUGAUCGAGUGUACUUCCGAAGACAAUCCGCGUCCGAGUGUUUUGACAAGCGGCGACCGCGGUUCCACAGGAGCGGAAGCUUGAGCCUUUUGACGAGCGACUGUGAAGAGUGCCAAUGCCAAACUUGGGAACCGUCGUGUUGGCACAGCGAGGAUGAUCAACAGAUACCCGAUAGGCAGCGAUGAGAGCUGUUCAUGGCACCGACACAGAGGACAGAUUGCAGUACAAGAUAGGAGCAUACUUCCUGCAAGCCCGGGC